rnacentral:rRNA from 1 species
AAACUUACCCUCAGUACGGGGAUAAACCCGGGAAACUGGGUAUAAUACCCGAUAGUUCUAAGAUGCUGGAAUGCGUUUAGGACGAAAGCUCCGGCGACUGAGGAUGGGUCUGCGGCCUAUCAGGUAGUAGUGGGUGUAAUGUACCUACUAGCCUACGACGGGUACGGGUCGUGAGAGCGAGAGCCCGGAGAUGGAUUCUGAGACACGAAUCCAGGCCCUACGGGGUGCAGCAGGCGCGAAAACUUUACAAUGCUGGCAACGGCGAUAAGGGGACCUCGAGUGCCAGGAUACAAUCUUGGCUGUCGCGAUGCCUAAAAAGCAUUGCAUAGCAAGGGCCGGGCAAGACCGGUGCCAGCCGCCGCGGUAACACCGGCGGCUCGAGUGGUAACCGCUAUUAUUGGGUCUAAAGGGUCUGUAGCCGGCCGGAUAAGUCUCUUGGGAAAUCCAGCUGCUCAACAGUUGGGCUUUCAGGAGAUACUGUUCGGCUCGAGACCGGGAGAGGUGAGAGGUACUUCAGGGGUAGGGGUGAAAUCUUGUAAUCCUUGAAGGACCACCAGUGGCGAAGGCGUCUCACCAGAACGGAUCUGACGGCAAGGGACGAAAGCUAGGGGCACGAACCGGAUUAGAUACCCGGGUAGUCCUGGCCGUAAACGAU